rnacentral:lncRNA from 1 species
GUUGUUGUUGUUGCUGUUGUUUUGCUGGAUUUACUAAUACUCUUUUGUUUCUGUUUUUGUUUUUGUUUUUCCUUUACUUCCCUGAGCUGAAGGUCGAUUGGAAACAGCCUCUCUGCCCUUUCGGGUAGGGGUAAGGCCUGUUUACAUAUUACCCUCCCAAGACCCCACCUUGUGGGACUAUACUGGGUAGUUGUUGUUGUUCUCUAGAUGUUAAAAUCCGGAGAAUAUUUGAGUUAUUUUUGUGGUCUCAUCAGAUGGUUUGAUAAGAUGCUAUAAAAUGUAUAGAUGUGUGUGUGCGUGUUUUUUUUACCCAGAUCCCACUUUGUGGGACUAUACUGUGUAGUUAUUGUUGUAAUUUUGAAGAUAUAAUGGGUUCAAUGCUGAGCAUCUUCAAUGCUGAACCCAUAGAACUUAAAUUCUAAAUCCGCCUUUAAGUGGAACAUGAUCAUAGUCAAGGGGUUUAUCUGUAAUAUUAGUUGCUUACGCUUCU